AUUCCCAUUCGGCAGCUCUUAGAGUAAACACCUAAAAUUGUUUCGUCUAGUCUCAAUAGUUUUUGUAAAGUCUCAAAUUUUUCGGUUCGGUUCGGUUAAUGGUAAAAAAUUUUUUAAAUUCAAAUAACAAAAUAUUUAAAAUAAUAAAACAUUUUUGGUUUGCAUUUGUUGUAGAAACGUAACGGCCUAAACAUGUGCGGACCUUGCUGUGGACCCUGUGGUGGCUGCUGCGGACCCUGCGGCGGCUGCUGUGGACCUUGCGGACCCUGUGGCCCAUGCUGUGGUCCCUGUGGACCCUGCUGCGGUCCUUGUGGACCGUGCGGCCCAUGUUGUGGACCCUGUGGACCCUGCUGCGGACCUUGCGGACCUUGUGGACCUUGCGGACCUUGCUGAUGCCAUCGAAGGAUCUACACCUGCUGGCCGUAAACCACGAACUUUAAUUUGAGACGGAAAUAAACGGGGCUUAAAGUUUACAAAUUUUUAAGCUUUAUGACCAUCAAAAGCCCAACCAAA
rnacentral:lncRNA from 1 species